CAAUAAGCGGAGGAAAAGAAACCAACAGGGAUUGCCCUAGUAACGGCGAGUGAAGCGGCAACAGGCUCAAAUUUGAAAUCUGGCCCUAGGCCCGAGUUGUAAUUUGUAGAGGAUGUUUCUGGCGAAGUGCCUUCCGAGUUCCCUGGAACGGGACGCCAUAGAGGGUGAGAGCCCCGUACGGUUGGAUGCCUAGCCUCUGUGAAACUCCUUCGACGAGUCGAGUAGUUUGGGAAUGCUGCUCUAAAUGGGAGGUAUACGUCUUCUAAAGCUAAAUAUUGGCCAGAGACCGAUAGCGCACAAGUAGAGUGAUCGAAAGAUGAAAAGCACUUUGAAAAGAGGGUUAAAUAGUACGUGAAAUUGUUGAAAGGGAAGCGGUUAUGACCAGACUUGGACAGGUUGAUCAUCCACGGUUCUCUGUGGUGCACUCUGCCUGUCCAGGCCAGCAUCAGUUCGCUUCGGGGGAUAAAGACUUUGGGAAUGUGGCUCCCUCGGGAGUGUUAUAGCCCAUUGUGCAAUACCCUGAUCCGGACUGAGGUUCGCGCAUCUGCAAGGAUGCUGGCGUAAUGGUCAUCACCGACCCGUCUUGAAACACGGACCAAGGAGUCGUCUUCGUAUGCGAGUGUUCGGGUGUCAAACCCCUACGCGGAAUGAAAGUGAACGUAGGAGAGAGCUUCGGCGCAUCUCCGACCGAUCCUGAUGUUCUCGGAUGGAUUUGAGUAAGAGCAUACGGGGCCGGACCCGAAAGAAGGUGAACUAUGCCUGUGUAGGGUGAAGCCAGAGGAAACUCUGGUGGAGGCUCGCAGCGGUUCUGACGUGCAAAUCGAUCGUCAAACAUGGGCAUGGGGGCGAAAGACUAAUCGAACCUUCUAGUAGCUGGUUUCCGCCGAAGUUUCCCUCAGGAUAGCAGUUGUUGAACUCAGUUUUAUGAGGUAAAGCGAAUGAUUAGGGACUCGGGGGCUAUAUAUUGCCUUCAUCCAUUCUCAAACUUUAAAUAUGUAAG
rnacentral:rRNA from 1 species